rnacentral:tRNA from 1 species
UGUGCUAUAGCUCAGAGGUAGAGUGCCUGCCUAGCAUGUGUGAGGCACUGAGUUCAAUCCUCAGCACCACAU